GUUCCUGCUGGUUCUGAUGUCCUAUGUUUGAUAUUUCAAGAUCAUUUCCAUCUUUGACAAUCUAUGUUCCAUGUUCUAAGGCCAUUUUAAGCGUUGGCAUUCUGUGUUCGAUGUUCUAAAGUUGCCCCUAGCUCUGAUGUUAAGUCCUUUUCGGCAUUGACAUUCUAUGCUCUAACAUCAUUUCUGGUUCUGAUAGUCUAUGUUUAAUAUAUUUUCCAGCUCUGACAUUCUAUGUUGGAUGUGUCCUUUUAGUACUGACAUUCUUCUCUGUUCUGACAAACUGCCAACUCCAUGGUUGUGUUGGGAGGCUAGAAUCCUGGAUUUUCCUAGUCUUCCUGUCUCGGUAGGGAUGUAGUUCCUUUGGUCCAUGCCCAUUCAGUGACCAUGGCUGUUCUAAUACAACUUUCUGGACUCAAGAUGUCCAGAAACAUGGCUGACCAACGUCUGUUCACCUCUCUGGUUCCUUCACAUCCCUAUGUUUCUGGGACUGAGAAAGGAGAGAAACAGUUCAAAAAUUCAGUCAUCCAUUUACAUGGAAGGAAGCAGGGCAUGGUGAAAAUAUUGAUGAAUCUGGGGCCCCCCAGGCAAAUUCUUCAGCCUCUCUGACCUCAGCUUACUCUUCUAUAAAAUGGGAAUAAUAAAACAUGUCUUUACCUAUCUCACAGGGCUUUUUUUGAAGGUCAAAUAACAUAAUAUUUGCAAAGAGCUAUGUCAACCUUAAAGUGUUAUACAAAUGUCAGCUAACAUUCAUUCAAUAAACAUUUACCAGGUCUCUGUUA